rnacentral:rRNA from 1 species
CGGGUGCACUGAUCCGGCCGGGCCUUUCCCUCUGUGGAACCCCAUGGCCUUCACUGGCUGUGCGGGGGAAACAGGACUUUUACUGUGAAAAAAUUAGAGUGCUCCAGGCAGGCCUAUGCUCGAAUACAUUAGCAUGGAAUAAUAGAAUAGGACGCGUGGUUCUAUUUUGUUGGUUUCUAGGACCGCCGUAAUGAUUAAUAGGGACAGUCGGGGGCAUCAGUAUUCAAUUGUCAGAGGUGAAAUUCUUGGAUCUAUUGAAGACUAACUACUGCGAAAGCAUUUGCCAAGGAUGUUUUCAUUGAUAAGGAACGAAAGUUAGGGGAUCGAAGACGAUCAGAUACCGUCGUAGUCUUAACUAUAAACUAUGCCGACUAGGGAUCGGACGAUGUUAUUUCUUGACGCGUUCGGCACCUUUCGAGAAAUCAAAGUGCUUGGGCUCCAGGGGGAGUAUGGUCGCAAGGCUGAAACUUAAAGAAAUUGACGGAAGGGCACCACCAGGGGUGGAACCUGCGGCUUAGUUUGACUCAACACGGGGAAACUCACCAGGUCCAGACACAGUGAGGAUUGACAGAUUGAGAGCUCUUUCUUGAUUCUGUGGGUGGUGGUGCAUGGCCGUUCUUAGUUGGUGGAGUGAUUUGUCUGCUUAAUUGCGAUAACGAACGAGACCUUAACCUGCUAAAUAGCCCGUACUGCUCUGGCAGUUCGCCGGCUUCUUAGAGGGACUAUCGG